AGAGUUUGAUCAUGGCUCAGAACGAACGCUGGCGGCGUACUUAACACAUGCAAGUCGGACGAGAAAGGAAGCUUCGGCUUCUGAGUAAAGUGGCGCACGGGUGCGUAACACGUAAGUAAUCUGCCCUGGACUCUGGGAUAACUCCCCGAAAGGGGGGCUAAGACUGGAUAGAGACCUGAGGUGCAAGCCUUGGGAGGAAAACAGGCCUCUGCAUUAUGCUUGUGGUCCAGGAUGAGCUUGCGGCCCAUUAGCUAGUUGGUGGGGUAAUGGCUCACCAAGGCAACGAUGGGUAGCUGGUCUGAGAGGAUGAUCAGCCACACUGGCACUGAGAUACGGGCCAGACUCCUACGGGAGGCAGCAGUGGGGAAUUUUGCGCAAUGGGCGAAAGCCUGACGCAGUAACGCCGCGUGGAGGAUGAAGGCCUUCGGGUUGUAAACUCCUGUCAGAGGGAACGACGGUAGUGGAGUAAAUAACUCUACCUGCUAGACGGUACCCUCAAAGAG
rnacentral:rRNA from 1 species